GGAGGAGCUUGCUUCUCUGGAUGAGUUGCGAACGGGUGAGUAACGCGUAGGUAACCUGCCUGGUAGCGGGGGAUAACUAUUGGAAACGAUAGCUAAUACCGCAUAAUAGUAGAUGUUGCAUGACAUUUGCUUAAAAGGUGCAAUUGCAUCACUACCAGAUGGACCUGCGUUGUAUUAGCUAGUUGGUGAGGUAACGGCUCACCAAGGCGACGAUACAUAGCCGACCUGAGAGGGUGAUCGGCCACACUGGGACUGAGACACGGCCCAGACUCCUACGGGAGGCAGCAGUAGGGAAUCUUCGGCAAUGGACGGAAGUCUGACCGAGCAACGCCGCGUGAGUGAAGAAGGUUUUCGGAUCGUAAAGCUCUGUUGUAAGAGAAGAACGAGUGUGAGAGUGGAAAGUUCACACUGUGACG
rnacentral:rRNA from 1 species